AACGACUGGACGAUAUAAGGGCACAGGAGUUGUACACUCGUGGGACAUAUGGCAUGGAGCCAAGAAUUUAGCCAAGAAGAUUUCUGCAGCAGCUCAGCAAUCUGGACAAAAGAUCCUGCUGCACUGGGUGAAAGACAUUGUAAAUCACUUCUGGUUCUGCUGUAAAAAGGCAGACACGGUACAGGAGUUUCUUGUAAGUAAUACUCAUCGUCACAUUUCUGGACACCUCUUCCUGCGACUAAAUACAAAAAAAAUGUAAAAAUGUACACUACAAUUCAUACAAUAUAAAUUUUUUUUAUUCUUUGACUUCAUGGUCUAAUCACAAGAUUUGUACUUUAGAAACUAUGGAGCAGUGUGCUUCAUCAUGUGACAAACGAGCACGAAUGGUACCUUGGACACUGCCUUCAUGGCAACCUACCAGAGAACCAAGACAAGCAAUGGCUGGAGAGUGGUUCUAAAGCUCACAAGGCACUGGAAGCUGUAGUUCUCAAUAAGAGUUUGCUCAGAAAUAUUCACAGAUAUUUACCUUUCAGAUCGACCUGUCAGCUUGAAUCAUUCCACAACCACUUGCUCAUGUACGCCAGCAAGCGGUUCAGCUUCUCACCGCUGGUCUAUCAGGCAAGAAUUCUCCUGGCAACCCUGGAUUAUAACCACCAUAAAGACCGACCACCAUUGCUUAACAAAAAUGGCCAAAAGAUCUUUCGCAGACAGUUAAAGGUUGCGUUAAAGGUGGCAAAAGACUACAGCUACAUUCCUGAUCUGCAAGCGGCAAUUGUGCGUGCAAGAAUUCAGGCUGAUAUGGGGAUGCCAAGAUAUAGGGUUCCAAGGCCUGAGGAUCCCCGGACACUGGGCCUCCUUCCAAGUGUCCAACCUCCUUCAAUUGACAGCAUUCUUGAGUCACAUGUCAGUAGGGGCAUAGGUAUGAAUUGCAAAAAAUGUCCCACACUUAGUAGUUCACAUUCACAGCUAUAAUAUAACAUUGCUUUUAUUCUUAUUCAUCUGAUUGCUAUGUUUUGACUUCUUUCUUUUCCAAAAGGGGCAAGCUCUACACAACCAGAGUCAAGAGAUGAAGACUAAAGUAGAACCUCAGCAAUCUAAACUCUUGAGUUUCAAAUGUGCCAGCCAAGCUAUUGUUGUCUUUCAAAAUUCGACUUAGAAACUUGAUUCAUAUACCUUCAUAUUUAU